CAAAAUAUAAGUUAUCGUUUUAUUUUAGAACCCACCAAAUACAUUUGGUGUUAUUCUUGUUCAUUAAAAUUAUUCAUGUGUUCAAGAAACUAUCAAUAGCUUUAUGGUCGGUGCAAGAUUUCUGAUAUGUUUUCUUUUAAUGAAAAAUGAAGACAUACAAUUUUUAAGGAUCGAGAAAAGAUAGCUCUGUCGACUUUAAGAAUUCAAGGAGCAGUGCAAGAGAAAGAGAAAAGUUAGCAAAAAGGAGAGCGAUGUUCAAACAUUGGCAAAAUGAUAUAGGAGUCAUCUGAAGAAAAACUAAAAGAAAAGCAACCAAAGCGUUAAGUUUUGCAUUUGACAGUUGAGACAUUAAUAGAAUGAAGGACAUAAAGAAGUAUAUAGGAGUUUUUAAUGAAUUUUCUUUCAAGGGUAAAAAUCAUGCACUUGUUUUAGAGAAUAGUCUUUAAGCCAAAUUUCUACUUGGUUUGAGUGACAAACUUUUUUGUCUUAGAAGACUUUAAGAAGAGUAAAAGAAGGACAACAAGCAGCUUACACUUUUUUGUUUACAAGUGAUUGCUUUGCUUGCAUUGAAGACACGUGUUCUAGCCAAGAGGAUCAGAAAAAGAAUUGCUAGGCAUUUUUGAUUAGAAGCAAGAUAGAAAAAGAAACUGGAUCAUGGUAAAAGCUUCUACUCGCAAAAUAACGUAAUAAGAGGUGGCAAUUAUUUUUGACUGCAGAAACUAAUAUCGAAACAACAUUUUUGGGUGAAAAGUUUUUCUAUAAUUAUUUAGUCAUAAUUGUAGGAAAGCGGAAACUGCAUGGGAAGCAAUAUAAAAGUCACAGCAAAUGGGCAUCAAAAUAAAAGACAAUAAUCACAAUAUGUAGCUAAUAAUGUGCCAAUGUAUGAUAUUGAAGGGUGAAUCACUGUCCAACAAAAGAAAGUUAUGUCAA